GACUGUACCCGAAUAAGAAGGUCCGGCUAACUUCGUGCCAGCAGCCGCGGUAAUACGAAGGGACCUAGCGUAGUUCGGAAUUACUGGGCUUAAAGAGUUCGUAGGUGGUUGAAAAAGUUGGUGGUGAAAUCCCAGAGCUUAACUCUGGAACUGCCAUCAAAACUUUUCAGCUAGAGUAUGAUAGAGGAAAGCAGAAUUUCUAGUGUAGAGGUGAAAUUCGUAGAUAUUAGAAAGAAUACCAAUUGCGAAGGCAGCUUUCUGGAUCAUUACUGACACUGAGGAACGAAAGCAUGGGUAGCGAAGAGGAUUAGAUACCCUCGUAGUCCAUGCCGUAAACGAUGUGUGUUAGACGUUGGAAAUUUAUUUUCAGUGUCGCAGCGAAAGCGAUAAACACACCGCCUGGGGAGUACGACCGCAAGGUUAAAACUCAAAUGAAUUGACGGGGACCCGCACAAGUAGUGGAGCAUGUGGUUUAAUUCGAAGAUACGCGCAGAACCUUACCAACACUUGACAUGUUCGUCGCGACUCUAAGAGAUUAGAGUUUUCGGUUCGGCCGGACGAAACACAGGUGCUGCAUGGCUGUCGUCAGCUCGUGUCGUGAGAUGUUGGGUUAAGUCCCGCAACGAGCGCAACCCUCACUUUUAGUUGCCAUCAUUAAGUUGGGCACUCUGAAAGAACUGCCAGUGAUAAGCUGGAGGAAGGUGGGGAUGACGUCAAGUCCUCAUGGCCCUUACGUGUUGGGCUACACACGUGCUACAAUGGUAUCUACAACAGGAAGCAAGACUGCGAAGUUAAGCAAAUCCCUAAAAGAUACCUCAGUUCGGAUUGCACUCUGCAACUCGAGUGCAUGAAGCUGGAAUUACUAGUAAUCGUGGAUCAGCGUGCCACGGUGAAUGCGUUCCCGGGUCUUGUACACACCGCCCGUCACACCAUGGGAGUUGGUUCUACCUUAAGGCAAGGUUUCAAACCCUUGACCACGGUAUAGUCAGCGACUGGGGUGAAGUCGUAACAAGGUAGCCGUAGGGGAACCUGCGGCUG
rnacentral:rRNA from 1 species